ACAUUUCACAGUUGCCAUGAAGACCGGGAGGUCUGCAAAAGCAGCGGGUACAAGUCAUUGAGGCCAAGAGGCGAGUCAGGCCUUUCUAGACCUCGCCCAACUCAGCUGGGCUGCGCUGGAAAUUGACCGGAACAGGAACUAUGAGAAAAUAGUCGGGCAAAUGAGAAGUAAGCUCAAAAGCCCGUUUCAAUCUUCCCACCCCAGCCAGUUGAAGCGGUGGCGCGGGGCCUCCCAAGCCUGGGAGCCAGAGAUGGAGGAAGAAGUGGAAGAGUUGGGGCUGCCUCUGAAGCUUUCGACCCUAGGCGGAGGGAACCUGCCAGGGGGUGCACGGAGGUCCGCAGUCUGAGAUGGCUGAAUAGCUGGAUGUGAUCGCCAAGACCCUUCUUCUUGGCUGCUUCCAGUUGAUCCAUAAUUUCCUGGUGCAGCUCCGGGAAAAGGUGCACGAACUGCAGGCGUGUGCGUUCUCCAGCAGGACCACUCUCGGCAUUGCCGUCUUUGUGGCAAUUUUACAUUGGUUACAUUUAGUAACACUUUUUGAAAAUGAUCGUCAUUUCUCUCACCUCUCAUCUUUGGAACGGGAGAUGACUUAGAUGACUUCUCCCACUGAAAUGGGACUUUAUUAUUCCUACUUCAAGAACAAUAUUGAAGCAUCUUCAUUUUUGGAAGGACUGUGGAUGAUUAUGAAUGACAGGCUUACUGAAUAUCCUCUUGUAAUUAAUACAGUAAAACGCUUCCAUCUUUAUCCAGAGGUAAUCAUAGCCUCCUGGUAUCGCACAUCCAUGGGAAUACUGAAUUUAUUUGGACUAGAAACUAACACCUGCUGGAAUGUCACCAGAAUAGAACCUCUUAAUGAAGUUCAAAGCUGUGAAGGAUUGGGAGAUCCUGCUUGCUUUUAUGUUGGUGUAGUCUUUAUUUUAAAUGGACUAAUGAUGGGAUUGUUCUUCGUGUAUGGAGCAUACCUGAGUGGGACUCAACUAGGAGGUCUUAUUACAGUACUGUGCUGCUUUUUCAACCAUGGAGAGGUCACUCGUGUGAUGUGGACACCACCUCUCCGUGAAAGUUUUUCCUAUCCAUUUCUUGUACUUCAGAUGUAUAUUUUAACUUUGAUUCUCAGGACCUCGAGCAAUGAUAGAAGGCCCUUCAUUGCACUCUGUCUUUCCAAUGUUGCUUUUAUGCUUCCCUGGCAAUUUGCUCAGUUUAUACUUUUUACACAGAUAGCAUCAUUAUUUCCCAUGUAUGUUGUGGGAUACAUUAAACCAAGCAAAUUUCAGAAGAUCAGUUAUCUGAACAUGGCAAUAAUUCUAAAGGAAAUAAAAUUUAAAAACUGGGAGUAUCUGAACUCAACUUUUGGGUAAGAUUCAGUAGUGCCUGGUGGUGUGGAACAAUCAUUUUGAAAUUUCUGACAUCUAAAAUCUUAGGCGUUUCAGACCACAUUUGCCUGAGUGAUCUUAUAGCAGCCAGAAUCUUAAGGUAUACAGAAUUUGAUACUUUAAUAUACACCUGUGCUCCCAAAUUUGACUUCAUGGAAAAAGCGACUCCGCUGAGAUACACAAAGACAUUAUUGCUUCCAGUUGUUAUGGUGAUUACAUGUUUUAUCUUUAAAAAGACUGUUCGUGAUAUUUCGUGUGUUUUAGCUACAAACACUUAUCUAAGAUGCUGUCUUCGCAGUGCCAUGCCUACAAUGGCAAGCGUGAAGCUGUCUACACUUCAUCCCAUUGUGAAUCAUCCACAUUACGAAGAUGCAGACUUGAGGGCCCAGACAAAAAUAGUUUAUUCUACAUAUAGUCGAAAAUCUGCCAAAGAAGUAAGAGAUAAAUUGUUGGAGUUACAUGUGAAUUAUUAUGUUUUAGAAGAGGCAUGGUGUGUUGUGAGAACUAAGCCUGGUUGCAGUAUGCUUGAAAUCUGGGAUGUGGAAGACCCUUCCAAUGCAGCUAACCCUCCCUUACGUAGCAUCCUGCUCGAAGAUGCCAGGCUCGAAGAUGCCAGUAUUUCAGAAUAGUGUGUACAGAGUAUUGAAGGUUAACUGAGAAGGAAACUACCCAUUACACUAUGGCACAAUGCCGUGUGUCAAAAACAAUCACCCUUUGGCUUAUUUACAUUAAUAAAAAUCACAAGCUUUAAUAACAGACACUUAAAAAUAAGAUAAAAAUGGAUUGAAAGUUUUUCUGAUUACUAAAAGGUAAAUUACUUUUCUGUUCAUUGAAUGUCAGCCUUAUUAAGCUUGUCAUAUAAAUUAUUCAAUCAUGUCAUACUGCAUAAACAAAUGUUCAUUUCAGAGUUUUAAAGAGAAAUGUAUAUAAAAGAACAAUGAAUUUUAAUAAAUCAA
rnacentral:lncRNA from 1 species